rnacentral:rRNA from 1 species
CCUAACACAUGCAAGUCGAACGAAGUAGCAAUACUUAGUGGCGGACGGGUGAGUAAAAUGUGGGUAUCUACCCAUUGGUUCAGAAUAACACGGGGAAACUUGUGCUAAUACUGGAUAAGCCUUUACAGGGAAAGCUUUAUGCGCCAAAGGAUGAGCCUGCACUUGAUUAGCUUGUUGGUAAGGUAAAAGCUUACCAAGGCUACGAUCAAUAGCUGAUCUGAGAGGAUGAUCAGCCACAUUGGGACUGAGACACGGCCCAAACUCCUACGGGAGGCAGCAGUGGGGAAUCUUGCACAAUGGGGGAAACCCUGAUGCAGCGAUGCCGCGUGAGUGAAGAAGGCCUUUGGGUUGUAAAGCUCUUUCGUCGGGGAAGAAAAUGACUGUACCCGAAUAAGAAGGUCCGGCUAACUUCGUGCCAGCAGCCGCGGUAAUACGAAGGGACCUAGCGUAGUUCGGAAUUACUGGGCUUAAAGAGCUCGUAGGUGGUUAGAAAAGUUGGUUGGUGAAAUCCCAAGGCUUAACCUUGGAACUGCCACCAAAACUUUUUGACUAGAGUAUGAUAGAGGAAAGUGGAAUUUCUAGUGUAGAGGUGAAAUUCGUAGAUAUAGAAAGAACACCGAUUGCGAAGGCAACUUUCUGGAUCAUUACUGACACUGAGGAGCGAAAGCAUGGGUAGCGAAGAGGAUUAGAUACCCUCGUAGUCCAUGCCGUAAACGAUGUGUGCUAGACGUUGGAAAUUUAUUUUUCAGUGUCGCAGCAAAAGCGUUAAGCACACCGCCUGGGGAGUACGACCGCAAGUACUAAUGAAUAGG